rnacentral:rRNA from 1 species
AUUGAACGCUGGCGGAAUGCUUUACACAUGCAAGUCGAACGGCAGCAUAGGUGCUUGCACCUGAUGGCGAGUGGCGAACGGGUGAGUAAUACAUCGGAACGUGCCCAGUCGUGGGGGAUAACGUAGCGAAAGUUACGCUAAUACCGCAUACGAUCUAAGGAUGAAAGCGGGGGACCGUAAGGCCUCGCGCGAUUGGAGCGGCCGAUGUCAGAUUAGGCAGUUGGUGAGGUAAAGGCUCACCAAGCCGACGAUCUGUAGCUGGUCUGAGAGGACGACCAGCCACACUGGGACUGAGACACGGCCCAGACUCCUACGGGAGGCAGCAGUGGGGAAUUUUGGACAAUGGACGCAAGUCUGAUCUGCCAUUCCGCGUGCAGGACGAAGGCCUUCGGGUUGUAAACUGCUUUUGUACGGAACGAAAAAGCUCUUACUAAUACUAGGAGUCCAUGACGGUACCGUAAGAAUAAGCACCGGCUAACUACGUGCCAGCCGCCGCCGUAAAAC